ACAAAAACAUGUCUUUUUGAAUUUAUUUUAAAGUCUGACCUGCCCACUGAGUUUUUAAUGGCCGCAGUAUAUUAACUGUGCAAAGGUAGCAUAAUCAUUAGUCUUUUAAUUGAAGGCUGGUAUGAAUGGUUGGACGAAAUAUUAACUGUUUCAUUUAAAUUUUUUGUAGAAUUUUAUUUUUUAGUGAAAAAGCUAAAAUUUAUUUAAAAGACGAGAAGACCCUAUAAAUCUUUAUAAAUUGUUUUUAGUGAUUAAUUGGAAUUAUAUAAUUAUUAAAAAUUAAUUUAUUUUAUUGGGGUGAUAUUAAAAUUUAAUUAACUUUUAAUUUGUAAUUACAUUUAUUUAUGAUUUAUUGAUCCAUUAAUAAUGAUUAAAAAUUUAAGUUACUUUAGGGAUAACAGCGUGAUUUUUUUGGAGAGUUCAUAUCGAUAAAAAAGAUUGCGACCUCGAUGUUGGAUUAAGGAAUAGGUUUAGGCGUAGCCGUUUAAAUUUUAAGUCUGUUCGACUUUUAAUUUCUUA
rnacentral:rRNA from 1 species